ensembl:lncRNA
GGCUAUAUCUGGUUAUCGCUUAAUCCUUACGUAUAAAUUUCAUAAUAUGAAUGGUUAAAAAAAAAAAGGUCUGGACUCAGGAGACAAGGGGGUCUGGGUUGGAAACCCAGCUAUUUCACUCGGAUUUGUACCUUGGGGGGCACCCUGUCUCUCUUCAGGCCCCAGGUGGUGGGGAUGCUACCCUCCGCCUGUGUCCAGUGGAAAGACCGGCUCUGUGGAGGGGCUGACCUAAUGUCUGGGUGCAUGAUAAGGCUUCUAAAAGUUCAGUUGAAUGUGAAGGAUGGUUGAUUUGGGAAAUGUGCAGCUCAAAAGGCAUGUCCUCUGGGGCCCUAUUUCCUUGGGAAUCCUGCCAGGCACACCAAUGUCUUGGCAAAGCCCCAGGGAGUAAGGGCCAAGGGCCAGCCAGGCCAGUGCAAUGGCUCACUCAGUGGCAUCUUGGGGCCUGAGAAACACUCUGUUCUCCACGACCCUGAGUGGAGAGGCUGGGGCCCUGGCGUCAACAUCUGCAAAAUGCUGUUCACAAUAACAAAAUUAUGAGCCCCGGAGGGCUGCUGGCGCACAGAGAGCGCCUUUCCCCAGUUGUCCUGCUGGCUACUGGUGACUGUUAAGGGCUCUUAAAUUAUCACUGGCAUUCUUAGAAUUCUGGUGGGAUUUGGGAACCGUGGUGGGAGAAGGGUGUCCUAAACUGUCAUUCCCUGCUUGCGGGGCCUGGAAAGAGCCCCCUCAAAUGGACAAUGAAGAUGACAAACUCUCCCCCAAACUCCAGCUGGAGCCUGAACAGCCAAGUGUCAUCCGCUAGUGGCCUAGCUGAGGUGGGGUGCCAAAAGGGUGCCCUGCAUCUGCCCUUCCCCGAUGGCUCAGCGGGGAAAGAACCUGCUUGCAAUGCAGGAGACACAGGAGAGGCGGGUUCGAUCCCUGGGUUGGAAAGAUCCCCUGCAGAAGGAAAUGGCAACCCACUCUGGUAUUCCUGCCUGGAAAACUCCAUGGACUGAGGAGCCUGGCGGGCGUAGUCCAAAAGAUUGCAGAGAGUCGGCCACGGCUAAGCACACAGGCAAGGACUCUGAGCGGUCUACCGCCUACUGCGUGUCUAACCCGAGUUUAAACGCAGUUGCGUGUGCACCAGGAAUGUUUCCCCUUAGAAGUUCACAGCUGCCUUGGUCCACAUCUUUCCACACUAUAGACACACACAUUUUCCUCUCUGGGUGACCCCAGCCCUGGCCUUCAUGUCCCAUUCCUUCUCUGAUUCCUGGCAAUGUUUAGGCAUCAGCCCAUCUCUCCGGAGGGCGGGAAGGGUCUGGUUCCUUCGGGUACCCGGCCUGGAGCCUGAAGUCUGCUCUAGGGUCUGGGGUAGAUCUGAUGUGACUGUCGACCCCUCCUCUCCCCACCCCCAAAGUGGGGCUGCCCUUGCUCACUCUGCCUUCACCCCUUCCCAAGCUGGACUCUGAAAGAUCUCUUUUGUAACACAGAUCUCAUCAGCUCCCU